rnacentral:rRNA from 1 species
AUUGAACGCUGGCGGCAGGCCUAACCCAUGCAAGUCGAACGAGUGGCGGACGGGUGAGUAAUGUCUGGGAAACUGCCUGAUGGAGGGGGAUAACUACUGGAAACGGUAGCUAAUACCGCAUACCAUCAGAUGUGCCCAGAUGGGAUUAGCUUGGUGGUGGGGUAACGGCUCACCAAGGCGACGAUCCCUAGCUGGUCUGAGAGGAUGACCAGCCAAACUGGAACUGAGACAUGGUCAAGACGCCUACGGGAGGCAGCAGUGGGGAAUAGUGCACAAUGGGCGAAAGCCGUAUGCAGCCAGGCCGCGUGUAUGAAGAAGGCCUGCGGGUUGUAAAGUACUUUCAGCGGGGAGGCGUUACCCGCAGAAGAAGCACCGGCUAACUCCGUGCCAGCAGCCGCGGUAAUUC